rnacentral:rRNA from 1 species
UACGUAGGGCGCAAGCGUUAUCCGGAAUUAUUGGGCGUAAAGAGCUCGUAGGCGGUUUGUCGCGUCUGCUGUGAAAACCUAAGGCUCAACCUUGGGCUUGCAGUGGGUACGGGCAGACUAGAGUGCGGUAGGGGUGACUGGAAUUCCUGGUGUAGCGGUGGAAUGCGCAGAUAUCAGGAGGAACACCGAUGGCGAAGGCAGGUCACUGG